UACAGAGGGUGCGAGCGUUAAUCGGAAUUACUGGGCGUAAAGGGUGCGUAGGUUGUCCUGUUAGUCUUUUGUCAAAUUCCCGGAGCUUAACUUCGGGACCGCAUUGGAUACGGCAGGACUUGAAAGUGUGAGAGGCGUACGGAACUCAUGGUGUAGGGGUGAAAUCCGUUGAUAUCAUGGGGAACACCAAAUGCGAAGGCAGUACGCUGGCGCAUAUUUGACACUGAAGCACGAAAGCGUGGGUAGCGAAUGGG
rnacentral:rRNA from 1 species